UACAGAGGUCUCAAGCGUUGUUCGGAUUCACUGGGCGUAAAGGGGGCGCGGGUGGCCAGGUGGGUGAGGCGGGAAAGCCCGGGGCUUAACCCCGGAAUUGCACCUCAAACUACUUGGCUAGAGCAUUGGAGAGGGGAGCAGAAUUCAUGGUGUAGCAGAGAAAUGCGUAGAUAUCAUGAGGAAUACCAGAGGCGAAGGCGGCUCCCUGGACAAUUGCUGACACUCAGGCACGAAAGCGUGGGGAGCAAAAGGG
rnacentral:rRNA from 1 species